GUGCUCCUGCUUUGACAACCCAUGUACUACCAUUGGAAGGAUACAGAGAAGAUCAGCCAGGCCCCAGGGCAAGGAUGACAUGCAAAUGUGGAAAGCAUCCCAUGGUUUG